GUAUAAGGUGAUAAUGGAGUGUUCUAACACUGUGUAUAAGGUGAUAAUGGAGUGUUCUAACACUGUGUAUAAGGUGAUAAUGGAGUGUUCUAACACUGUGUAUAACACUGUGUAUAAGGUGAUAAUGGAGUGUUCUAACACUGUGUAUAAGGUGAUAAUGG